rnacentral:lncRNA from 1 species
UGUGAAGACUUGCAGCCCGGCAUAUGGUCUGUUUUGUUGAACGUUCCAUGUGCACUUGAGAAAAAUGUCUGUUCUGUUGUUGGGUAGGUUGUUCUCUAAAUGUCACGUAAGUAAGGUGAGUAAGGUGGUUGAUAGUGCUGUUUAGGUUUUAGUGGUUUUCUGCUCUCUUGUUCUAUCACUUCCUGAGACAGGAGUGUUGAAGUUUUCAACCAUUUCUCCAUUCAUUUCUCGCAGCUUUUUCUUUGCUUAUUUUGAAGCUCUAUAGAUUGGUGUAUGUACUUACAGAAUUUUUAAGUCGUUAUGAUGAACGGAUCCUGUAUUAUUAUGAAUUAUCCUUUUUAUCUCUGAUAAUAUUACUUGUGUUGACGUUGACUUUGAUAAUCACAGAGCCACUCCACUCUCUCAUGAUUAGCGAUUGGUUGGAAUACCCUUUUCCUUACACUUACGUUUAACCUAGCUAUGUCUUUUUGUUUGUUUUUGUUUUUUAAGGGACAGGGUUUUGGGCCAGACGUAGUGGCUCACACCUGUAAUCCCAGCACUUUGGGAGGCCAAGGCAGGCGGAUCACCUGAGGUCAGGAGUUUGAGACCAGCCUGGCCAACAUAGUGAAAACUCCAUCUCCACUAAAACUACACAAAAAAAUUAGCUGGAUGUAGUGGCACAUGCCUGUAAUCCCAGCUACUUGGGAGGCUGAGGCAGGAGAAUUGCUUGAACCCAGAAUGUGGAGGUUGCAGUGAGCUGAGAUCACACCAUUGCACACCAGCCUGGGUGGCAAAGCAAGACUGUCUCAAAAAAAAGGAACAGGAUUUUGCUGUGUUGCCCAGGCUGCAGUGCAGUAGCAGGAUGAUAGCUCAUUGCAGCCUUGAGCUCCUGGCCUCCAGUGAUCCUCCCACCGUGGCCUCCCAAAGUGCUGGGAAAACAGGUGUGAGCCACCACCCCCGCCAGCCUCAGUGUCAUGGUGAUGUUCACUUUCAUAGCACGUGUUUCGUGUGUUUUUCCCUAGAAUGGAUGAUGAACUCGUUGUUGGACAUAGUGCGAGAUCAGACAUCUCCAGCUUCCCUUGUACAUCUGGCUUUUAAAUUUCUUUACAUCAUCACCAAGACUUGGGAAACCCGCUACAUGCUUUUGCUAUGGCUCUCUGUGACCUGCCUGAUUCCUUUUGAUUUUUCUCACCUUGACGUGAACCUCGUCACCCAGCCUGGGCAAACACGAAUGUCCAUAAUGGACCGUAUUCUCCAAAUAGCAGAGUUUUGUUAUGUUAGAAGUAGUGUGGUGAUGAAGAACCUUUUGCCCACCCUCAUUUACCUGUCUGCUGAGAGGGACUUCCAGGUCAAAGGGAGCACGGUAUGUGAAGACUUGACAGUCUGUGAUCGUCCUUAGAAAGCCUGCCUUGGACAAAAAGAUUUUCUAAGUGUAUCAUUUUGGGGAAGAAAAGUAGCUAAGACGAGCAUUGCAAACCUUUUAAGGCAGCCCUCCUAAAAAUAAAUCUAGCUGGGUGUUGUGGUUUCACGCCUGUAAUUCCAGCACUUUGUGA